CGUGCGGGGAGUGCGUGCGCGCGCUAGCGCGUGCGCGCGACCCUAGAACGCCGCUGGCGGCGCGCGAGACGGCGGCGACGGCCACAGCACCCAGAUAUAUUUUUACCACCAUGGAUCGGUUUAUAGAUGUAUCAGAAGGUGAAGUGGACCAUUCUUUCUUUGACAGUGACUUUGAAGAAGCAAAGAAAUGUGAAAGUAACACAGUUUUUGGCAAGCAAAAUGAUCACUCUGAAGAGAGAGUAGAUAAAGAUACAGAAAAUGUAAACUUGAAAUUUGGAAUACAAAAAAAGGAAAAUGAAAAAAAGGAGAAAAUUCCUCCAGAAGAACACCCUGUAGAAAAUGAUAAUAUGCAAACCAGAAAUUCUUUAUCAUUGACCACUCCAAGAUCAAAAAAAUUGUGGGAUGCUACAACAGAGCAUAAAGUACACUUGCCCACUCCAAGGAGAAUUCCUAAAAUUAUAAAAGAAGGUGAGGAUGAUUAUUAUACAGAUGGAGAGGAAAGCAGUGAUGAUGGGAAAAAACAACAUGUCAGGUCCAAGUCAGCUAAACCAUCUAAUAACUUUAAAAAAAGCAUAAGUAAAAAGUAUUCCAAAAAUAAUUCCUCUUCCUCCUCCUCCUCUCUGUCUUCCUCAUCUUCAAGUUCAGGCACAGAUUGUUCAGACGCAGGGUCCGAUAACUGUAUUUCUGAUUCAUCGCCAUCAUUAAAGAAACGUCUAUGUGGUGUAACCCACUUAUCACCAAAACAGAAAUAUAAACCAGGAAUGAAAUCAGCAGGAAUACAGCCUUCAAGCACUAAACCAAAAGUCAAUGACUACCCUGAGGAAUCGGAAGAUACUGUGACAGAUGUCACUCCUCUGUCAACUCCAGACAUCAGCCCUGUUCAGUCUUUUGAACUGGGAGCAUCAAAUGAUCAAAAAGUAAAAGUUAAAAGGCAGGAAAACGUGAGUCAAGAAGUAUAUGGAAAUGUUGAAGAUUUAAAAAAUAAUUCAAAAUCUUUGAAAUCAACCAAAAAAGGGCAAGAAAAACAUGGGCCUGAUCUCACUUCAAAAUCUUCAGUGUUAGAUUCCAGUUCAGACCACAGAUACAAACAAAAAGCCUUACAUGACACGAUGGACCUCAAUCAUCUUUUGAAAGCUUUUCUGCAAUUAGAUAAAAAAGGACCACAAAAACAUCACUUUGAUCAGCCUUCUGUAGCACCGAGGAAAAACUACUCUUUCACAAGAGAGGAGGUGAGACAGAUUGAUAGGGAGAAUCAGAGGCUUUUGAAAGAACUAUCAAGACAGGCUGAAAAAUCAGGAAGCAAAAGUACCAUUCCUAGAAGAUCGAUUGUUCAUCCCCCUAAGUUGUACCAUAGUGCCCUCAACAGACAGAGGGAACAGCAAAGGAUUGAAAGAGAAAAUUUGGCUUUAUUGAAAAGGCUUGAAGCUGUGAAGCCAACAGUUGGUAUGAAACGUUCUGACCAGCUGAUGGACUAUCAUCGCAACGUGGGUUAUCUCAGCUCAUUACCAUCCGCAAGACGAGUGAGAUCAACUCUUGGCCAGUACAGCCCAUUAAGAGGAGCUUCUAGAACAUCCAGUGCUACCAGUGGUCUCAGUUGUAAGAGUGAGCGACCAGUUUUUGACACGUCCAGUGGCCUGUUACUAAGACCUAAGCCCCCUAAUGUUCGUACAGCUUGGUUAUAAAAACUUUUUACUUUAAGCAUUGUUCAUCCGGUUCUUAAUGAAGUGCUCUUGUAUAUUACUACAGUUCUCUGUGUAAACAUCUCUAAUUUAAGAUAUGAACAAUGAGUUGUAAUUGUAUUGUAAUUCAGUGCAAAAUUGUUUUCAAAAAGACAGUGUAAAAUCAGUGUUUCCUAUGAGGAUGUGUUUCUGUGAGAUGCAUAUGUAUUUGAUAGAGAAAUGGUAUAUACACGUAUAUUUUUUUGACAUAGAAAUUGAUUCAGCUCCUAUACUGACAAAACAGUUGCGAUAUCACUGCACAUUGAACCCAAGAUAUAUUGUUCUUGUUUUAUGUGUUUUUUUAUAAGCUUUGAACUAUGAGCAUAGCUCCUAAAUUUGACUUUUUCUCUUUGCUCCAGAGUAUAGGUGGUACAGCUCAUAAUUUGUUUGUAAAACUUGAUUGUACACUUUCUUAUUAUGAAACAGAACUUGAAAUUUGUUCUCAUUGGUGGGCCUGAUUAGACUUGGCGAGCAGAUUGAGAGACGCUUGUGCUAGGCCAGUCCUUGUGAUUCACCAAAAGCAUCUACUACCUCUGUCUAAGUGUGCGGAGUUAGAUCUUAAAAAUGUAAUCAACCAUUCCAGACCAUUUCAAACUGUGAGUAUUAGGAAGUUGAACUUGGAAGGCCCUCUUCCUUAUUCUUACACAUUCAGGUAAAAUAUCACUGAUGAUGCUGAGAAAUGAGGUAGACUUUAGAGCUACAGUCCAUUGCAUUGUGAAUAGGUUGUCCAAGGACCAGAUGACCAUACGCAAAAGCAAAUAUUUGUUGAGCAAAAUAGCACCACCAGUUUGAAGAGCCAAGAAGCAGAUGCUCGGUUGUGUCAGAACAGUGUUUUAGGCGAUACUGUUAAGUUGUGUUAUGUUGAGUGUUUGUUGUAUCAAAAGAGAAGGUAAAUAAGAAAUGCAUGGUCUUGAAGCUUUAGAAAUUCCAACUACUGUUUUUAAGAACUGAGAAAGAAAACUAAAGUAUCAAUGGUAAAGGAAAAUAUCACACAUUUGUUGAGGCUACUUUAAAUGUCAUCUAAUUUCUUAUAUUAUUUGGUUUGGGCUUUUGGAUUGAAUCCUGAAGUAUCAUUUUUGCCAGUGCCACUUUUGAAAUCCUAGUAAUCUUAAUGGAAUUAGUAAUGGCAAAUAGGGUGUAAUAUAGUUGACUUUUGAAAUCAGAAUAUUUUCUGUCAAUCUGUGGAUGCUUAUUUCAUACAAGUCUAUCUCAGUUGUGGUUGCUUCUUCUGUCUUAGUCAUCACUUUUUCAUUACUGGCCUUUUCCAUAUACCUUUGGAAUGUAAUGGAUUAAAUGCUAAACCUUUCUUUUUUUAAUAUGAAUUCUUGAUCUGUAGCCGGAAUAAGAUUUGUUUAGUUUUCCAGGUUAGCUCAAGCUUUGUAGUGUUUGCUGAACUCAUUUUCUGACCACGUUGGGCAGUCAGCCAAACUGCAUUUUGCUAAAUAUCAGUUCAGAAUUUCUUGGUCUUUAGUUGUUAUUGAUGGACUUUUGUCUAGGAUAGGGUCAUCAAGUGUGGGAACAGUGGUGUUAAAAAAUAUUCACGGGAACACGACCCGACUGUGAGAUUUCUCUGCUGCUUUCUUUGGGCUGUAAUGUUUGUUCAUUGUUGUUUGAUACUCUGUUCUGGUGACCAAGUUCUUAGAUCAUUUAGUGCUCUGCUUUAUUAAUUUUAGUUACACUAAACCAAGGGUAUUUUACUUUGUUGUGGUUUUAGCUGAUUGCACUUUGAAUGUUUGUAUAACAACUUAUCUUUAUGAAGAGAUAAGAUAAUGCUGAAUUUAUAACUCAGCAUUUGGACACCUGCCUGAUAUUGUAAGCCAGUUUUUAAAAAUUGAGUUUUAAGUUGUUAGGGGAAAUAUAUAUAUAUGAAACCUUUAAAACCUUUUCAUAAUGACAUUAGUCUCUGAAUAUAUUUUAUACAGCCUUUGCUGUCCUAUGUCUGGAUAUAACACACAAUUUUAUAGGUAAACCUAUACUUUGAUUUUAGAUACUAAUUUAAUGCCUUUAGUCUUUAUUGCUUUGAUGGGGAGGUUAAUCUAAGUAUUGCUGACAGUAGGGAUUCAACUUGAAGUGAAUGUUGGGAAGAACAGUAUUCAUCUUUUCAAAGCAGAAUUUGUAAUUCUCUUGUUAUUAUUUCCAUGUGAUAAGUAAAAAUAGAAGGAGAAGAGUUGAAUAUGCUAUUCUCUGAUAGAAGUCAAGGUACUUUGAAGUUGUUAUGGUUUAAGGGACACUUUCAUGAAGGAAUCAUAAGGAUACUAUUUUCAUUUUCAAGAACUUAUAAAAAGGUAAGGGAUCCUCUAGCACUACUAUAUAUUUGGUUUACUUGGACCUAUUAUUUAUACUUUGAAGAUUACAUCUAUAACUAGAAAUUAUACUAAUCCAGGAUCUAAACUUAUUAGGCAAGAUUCUAAUUGGGAUUAUUUUCAUAUCUGUCAAAUGUUAAAGUAAUGUUGCCUCCAUCUUAAUAAGAUUUUAUGAAAGACUUUGAACUAUUCAGAUGAUUUCCUGAGGGAUAGCUGUUACUCACAAUGUCCUUGCUUUUUUCAAUUUCCAUUGAAAAGCUGCAUUCUUCACUACUACUCCAAGUAAAAUUUUUCUGGCUUACUUACAAAUGUAGUGUAAUGCAGUGGUUUUCAAAUCAUUGACCCAAUGUCCAAAAUGGAUAUCUAGACAACUUUAAAAAAAGGUCAUUAUGAUGUUUGUGUCCUUCUCAUCUUCAGAUUCAAAUACGCACACUGUGGGGAGUAUUAUGACCAACAAAAGUGUGGAGACACAAGUUGAAUUUAUUAUAUUUUAAUUCAUAAAAUGUUUACUAUCUUAAAUGCCAAAAUCUUAACCUAUACAUGAUUGUAUACCAUCCCAAAAAUGUUCUUAAUGAUAAUGGCUACUUUAUUUCCAUGAAUAAAUUAGUAAUAAACUUAAAAAUCAACAUCUUUUUUUAAUUUCCCAAUCUGUUACAUGUUUAAGGCCUGAAGAAUUAGCUUGACAUAGUGAAGAGAAAAAUGAAAGGAUUAAAGAUAACUGAGUUUUGAUCCCGUACCCAUCUCUUAAAUGUAUUUUCUUUUUUUUCCCGUAAAUUAAGAAGGGUCAACUGUAUUUUCUUGUUCCCAUUUUAAAAAAUUAGAAUAAUAACUUUUAUGUGCUUUACACGCCUAAGAAUUAGAAUGAAGUGGAAGGAGGGUGUAUUAGCUACUUAUAUCUUCAAAAGUAUUACAUUUAUGUGGGAAAGAGUUUGCUUAUAAUUACAUCAUUGGUCAUCUCUUCAAACCCCACAUCAUCUAAUUUGUUCUGUAAAAUUGCUAUGAUGCUGCAUUGGACACUCUUAGAACCUCAUGGAAUGUUGUUGUUUUGGUUUUUUUUUUAGUGUCCACAUCAACAUUUCACAUGCAUGAUGAGUGAUAAGAAAUACCCUUUUUAAAACUCGCUGCUAAAACAUCAGUUUAGGAACUUUUUUUAUGAGGGUUUAAAAACAACAAUGCUAUAGGAAUAAAUCACUGAGCAGUUCCCAUGGUAGUAUAUUUGAGUUCCCAACUACGGAGUUCAGGGAUGCUUAGAGCAACUAUUACAUCAUAGCGGAAAGUUUUAUUUGCUUUUAAGGUUCUGGUGACUGUUUUUUAAGCCACUGAGAGAGAUUUCUGGACCCACCAUGAUACAGUCUUAAGUGUCUAUACCUCUUUCAGGGUAUACUUUGUAAGUUCAGGUAAGUUGCACUGUUUAUUCUAAGAUGAUGUUUUUAAGGUUUUACUCUUUUACAGAGUAAAACUUAAGAGGUAACGUCAUUAAUUUACUAUGGUGCGACAUGGGGUUUUUUCCUAGGAACCUAACUUCACAUCCACUUCUAAGAUGGUAAAAAAAAAAAUUUAGGUAGUCACCAAAAAACUAUUAAAAACUAUGGUUCUAAAUUUUUAUAGUAUUUAUGUUACAGUGAUAGUCUUCACCAACAAUCACACAUUUAUUUCAUGUAUUUGGAAAUUAUAGACAGUCUCCCAAGUUUGCAGUGUACUUUGUUCUCUUGAUUUCACUCUGAAAGUGUUUUAUUUCAUGAAGAAAAUACCUAGUACUAAGUAAAUACAUCUUCUUUGCAUGCAGUUAUGUAUACUAACCAGAAAAACUGAAUUCUGCCAUUAAUUUGAGAAGAUUUAAUUUGAAAUUCUAUUUUGGGGAAUGUGAAAGGGACAUGAGAAUGGCAUUCCAAAGAUUUUGUUGUUUGCAGUUUAUGUAAAUAUUACAGAAAUACAGAAAAGGACACAAAACAUAAAUGUAACCUUAUAUAUUGUUACAAAGCAAACCUGCAUCACCACUAACCAGAUCCAGAAUUGGAGUGUUGCCAGGACUCACAAGAUCCUGGGUGGCUCCCUACCAGUCAUGAAGCUCUUUGCCUGCCAGAAGGUGCCUGUUUUCCUCAUUUGUUCUUGAAUUUAACAAACACUACACAUGGCCUGUGUCCCAGGCACUGUUCUGGGCUCCAGAGAAAUCAGUAAGAACCACUGCCCUUGCAGAGAGAGUUUCCAUUCUCUUACAGCCUGGCACGUUGUAGGUAUUUGUCAAUUUUGACUCAGCAUGAGCUGUGCUAUUUAUGUAUUUUACACAAAGUAAAACAAAGGAAAUGGUUUAAUAAGAUUUAAACACAAACAGUUGAGGCAAGCUGUAAAUACAAAAAAAUGAAAAGGACUUUUGGAGGGGGUGUGGUAAGAGGAGGGCUGCGUUUAGGGAGAGCUUUGCAGAAAGCAAAGUGAGGAAUUCCUGAGGGCAGGGUGCUCAGUUCUGAGUUGUUAGCUUAAUGUAAACCCUUUCCAUCUUCCCAGAGCUUCAGGUGUGACAGCUUUGCACAGUGACGGUACAGUGAGGGGAUUUGUAAAGCUAUGAUGUCCCCAGCCAGAAGACGACGGCAUCGUGGCAGAGGCUUGGUUCUAGGAGUCUCCAGUGAAUGCGAUACUGUAGCAAGGAACUGACUCAGGGGCCCUUUGGGCAAAUCUGCACUUCCUAAGUGCCAUCGAGGUAACCCUAGCAGAACGGGGAGGCUGACAUCUGGGUCACACACACGUGGCAGAUAAUGUGUGUUUAAUAAACUCCCAUUUCCUGUAAAGACUCAAGAACAAUUUUGGUUCUUGGUUGGGCUGGGACCACCCUAUUCAUCCAUUACUUUCAGGUCUCAGCUGCUCUUCAUGGCUCCUCCCUCGCCUAACUCUAAGGUUUCAAAUACUGAAAAGGCUGCUGGCCUUACUCUGAGCUAUGCUCCACCUAAGUUCCUGCCCUACUAGCCUGCCCUGCUUUCCUCUCCUCUCCAUCAGCAACAGAAUUUGGACCAUUCACACCAUUCACUGGAUGAAAAGCAGCAUGAGGGUAAUGUAUCCAGAAGGCCCCUAACACUACAUGUUUGUGACCUGGCCUUGAGAUGGGACUGAGAAACUUUUUUGUGCACACCUUAGCCUGUCCCAUCAGCACAGACAGGCACUACAGUAGAGCAGAUGGAACUUUGUUUGUUGUGGUAAAACAAAGCAGCUGAUUUUUUACUGGGGAGGUAGGAGUGAGUAGGUGGGAGAGCUUGGGAAGGAGGGCGAAGAACGGGAGGUACAGAGACACCACAUCCCUCAAACCACCCGUCAGGGAAACCAUAAAACACACGGGCCUGCCUUUCAAACUUUGCCUAGGGCAUAGGAACUGGUUUCCAGCAUUAUCACUAACAGGCUCGUGCUCUAUGAGCCUGGACCGGAAGUAAUUUCCAACUAGAAAUUGUAAUUACUUUUCACUUGGUCACUAGUCUAUGAGAGUCCUAUCCAAAACUGACUGUCUCUAGUCUUGAUAAACUGUUACCGCAAAGAAGUGCUGGCAGAUACCUUCUAUACCUGUUAUGGAACUCUCCUAUUUUCUUUCAGGCCUGCCUCCUACCACUCCCCACAUAUCAUGUCCUCCUUUCUAGUCCUACCCAACCAAGAUUAUAUUAGAUAUUACAUUAUAUAAUAACAGCCAUUUCAUUCCUCUCUCCUAACCCCAUCAAAGUUUCUUCAGAAUUGGCUCCUGUCUUUUUGUAUCUUCCAAAGAGCCUAACAGGUACUAAAUACUAGCUUGCCAGCUGACUGUCAAUGAAUACUGCCCACCUGUCAUAAAAUUCUAAGUAUCACACUUCUCGAAAGGCCCUAAGACAGAACAUUUCCUCGCCUCACAAAACUCCCAACACUGUUCAGUGUAAUCUCAGAGUUCCUGAAGAUUGCAUGAAAGUGCAUAAAAUCAGGUGGGACUACGCAAGUCAGGAUCCAUGCCACCGCUUUGGAGCCCCCAGCACCACGGCCUGAGAUAAGAUAAAAAGAAAGUGGGUAAAAGCUGCCAAAGUUUGAAAACCACACAUUUUAAGCAUUGUAGGUACUCCUGUGACACACAGUAGAACAUCUGACAUUCAGAAGCUGGGCCACCGAGUUAUGUAAGUCAUGCUAGAAAAUAAGCAUUUGUGGUCUUAUGUUUAAAUCCACACAGCAAUGAAUAAGAACUCAAAAAAACAUGGUGCAUUAAGUGGUCUUUAUUGAGAUUUCACAUUCGGUUAUCUUCAUUAUCAGUUCUUCAGUUAAUUAUACAAGUAUGAUAAGUUAUAUCUGACGUGGGAAUUUAAAUGUAAAAUAAAUACAAAAUACAUUUGUGGUUUAAUGAACACUCAGUGAAGCUUUUUUUUUUUUUCUCUGAGGUAUUCCUUUCAGUCUGGUUUUAUCCCAGAUCCUUUCUUUUUACUUCCCAUAGGAAAAGUCUAUUAAACCA